rnacentral:lncRNA from 1 species
GACUGCCGCGCAGCAGGGAGGUCCCAGGUUGCGCCCCGAAACUGCCAAGCCCCGAGCGGGCCGCGCCCCGAUCUGGGGUGAGUCCCGUGGCCCCCGCCCCUCUGUGAAUUCUGCGCCCCGCACGCCCCCAGGAGCUUCCCAUACAGGCUCGGUGUGGAGCUGGGCCGCCGCAGCGGGUGCCUGGCUGGGGACGGGCUGGCAGGGUCCCCGGGGGUCCGGGAAGCGGCCAUCACAUCCCAAUCACGUGGGAGGGGGGUCACCAGUUCUGCCACUCCAGCCACGUCCGCGUAGGCCCCUUCACUGCAGAAGGGGUGGUCACGGGGUUGGGUACCCCUGGACAUCAAUGGAGGUGGUGGUGUAAGUGAGUAUUGUGAUAUGCUGGUUUCCUUGGGGACACUGUAGGGAAACCGAGGCAAGGAAAGUCUCCCCACUUUCAGCAUGGUCUAGCCCCGCCCCCCGUAUGGGUC